UACGGGGGGGGCAAGCGUUGUUCGGAAUUACUGGGCGUAAAGGGCUCGUAGGCGGCCAACUAAGUCAGACGUGAAAUCCCUCGGCUUAACCGGGGAACUGCGUCUGAUACUGGAUGGCUUGAGUGUGGGAGAGGGAUGCGGAAUUCCAGGUGUAGCGGUGAAAUGCGUAGAUAUCUGGAGGGACACCGGUGGCGAAGGCGGCAUCCUGGCCCAUUACUGACGCUGAGUGAGCGAAAGCCAGGGGAGCAAACGGG
rnacentral:rRNA from 1 species